GGCUUAUAAUUGAAGUCUAGUAUGAAUGGGAACACGGGAAUAUUCUGUCUUUAAUAUAUAAAAGAAAUUACUAAUUAAGUGAAAAUUCUUAAAAGUAAGAAAAUAGACGAGAAGACCCUAGAAAUUUUUUUUAAUUUGAUUUUGUUGGGGCGACAGGGUAACAAAAAACUUACCUAAGGUAAUAGGAAAUUUUUUAGUGGUGUAAUUAAAUUACUCUAGGGAUAACAGCAUAAUAUUUUAAAGGUUGUGACCUCGAUGUUGGACUAGGA
rnacentral:rRNA from 1 species